GACGAACGCUGGCGGCGUGCUUAACACAUGCAAGUCGAACGGAAAGGCCCUGCUUUUGUGGGGUGCUCGAGUGGCGAACGGGUGAGUAACACGUGAGUAACCUGCCCUUGACUUUGGGAUAACUUCAGGAAACUGGGGCUAAUACCGGAUAGGAGCUCCUGCUGCAUGGUGGGGGUUGGAAAGUUUCGGCGGUUGGGGAUGGACUCGCGGCUUAUCAGCUUGUUGGUGGGGUAGUGGCUUACCAAGGCUUUGACGGGUAGCCGGCCUGAGAGGGUGACCGGACACAGUGGGACGGAGAGACUGACCAGACUCCUCCGGGAGGCAGCGGUGGGGGAUAUUGACGAAUGGGCGGAAGAGGGACGCCGCAACGCCGCGUGCGGGAUGACGGGCUGCGGGUUGAAAACAGCUUUCGCCGGGGAAGAAGGGGGAGGGACGGUAAUGGGUAAAGAAGCACCGGCUAACGACGUG
rnacentral:rRNA from 1 species